GACAGAGGAUGCAAGCGUUAUCCGGAAUGAUUGGGCGUAAAGCGUCUGUAGGUGGCUUUUUAAGUCCGCCGUCAAAUCCCAGGGCUCAACCCUGGACAGGCGGUGGAAACUACCAAGCUGGAGUACGGUAGGGGCAGAGGGAAUUUCCGGUGGAGCGGUGAAAUGCGCAGAUAUCAGGAGGAACACCAAUGGCGAAGGCAGCUCACUGGGACGAUACUGACGCUGAGACGCGAAAGCGUGGGGAGCAAACAGG
rnacentral:rRNA from 1 species